UAAAAUGCCAUUUCAUCGGUCUUGAACAAUGGCAUGAAUUAGCACAGCAGGACUACCAAAAUAUUGCGUAAACAAACCGUGAAGCUCAAAUUUGAGAUGUUGAAGUUCAGAUCUAAUUUCUCCUGAAAGUCAUCCUUAAAUCCCUAUAGUCGAUUUUCCAGUUUUGCGUCAAACUUAACAUCCAACUGGAGAGCUCUUCCUAAAUCUUUUCCACCUUUUGUUGCAACACAUGAACCUCCU
rnacentral:lncRNA from 1 species